rnacentral:hammerhead_ribozyme from 1 species
AUCCGGCUGACGAGUCUCAAAAUUGGACAAAAUACGCGUCCUGGAU